UACGGGGGGGGCAAGCGUUGUUCGGAAUUACUGGGCGUAAAGGGCUCGUAGGCGGCCAACUAAGUCAGACGUGAAAUCCCCAGGCUUAACCUGGGAACUGCAUCCGAUACUGGAUGGCUUGAAUUCGGGAGAGGGAUGCAGAAUUCCAGGUGUAGCGGUGAAAUGCGUAGAUAUCUGGAGGAAUACCGGUGGCGAAGGCGGCAUCCUGGACCGACAUUGACGCUGAUGAGCGAAAGCUAGGGGAGCAAACGGG
rnacentral:rRNA from 1 species